rnacentral:tRNA from 1 species
CUUAUACUGGUUUUUAUUAUUGCGAUAAUAAAUAAUAAUAACUAAUAUUCAUAUUAACUCGGGUGGAGCUUU